rnacentral:ncRNA from 2 species
UGCAGGGUACGCAACUGGCGAUAGGUGCGCGCCCGCCUUCCGGGCUCCGCACUGACGUGGAAUCGCUGUACAGGGCGGCUUGCCGACCCUGUGCCAACCACCGGGGAGCGUACCGCCCAGACUGAUCGGGCGUCUUUAGCCGUUCGCCUGGGCAGCCCUU